rnacentral:rRNA from 1 species
CUACUGGAAACGGUAGCUAAUACCGCAUAACGUCGCAAGACCAAAGUGGGGGACCUUCGGGCCUCAUGCCAUCAGAUGUGCCCAGAUGGGAUUAGCUAGUAGGUGGGGUAACGGCUCACCUAGGCGACGAUCCCUAGCUGGUCUGAGAGGAUGACCAGCCACACUGGAACUGAGACACGGUCCAGACUCCUACGGGAGGCAGCAGUGGGGAAUAUUGCACAAUGGGCGCAAGCCUGAUGCAGCCAUGCCGCGUGUGUGAAGAAGGCCUUCGGGUUGUAAAGCACUUUCAGCGGGGAGGAAGGCGGUGAGGUUAAUAACCUUGUCGAUUGACGUUACCCGCAGAAGAAGCACCGGCUAACUCCGGUGCCAGCAGCCGCGGUAAUACGGAGGGUGCAAGCGUUAAUCGGAAUUACUGGGCGUAAAGCGCACGCAGGCGGUCUGUCAAGUCGGAUGUGAAAUCCCCGGGCUCAACCUGGGAACUGCAUUCGAAACUGGCAGGCUAGAGUCUUGUAGAGGGGGGUAGAAUUCCAGGUGUAGCGGUGAAAUGCGUAGAGAUCUGGAGGAAUACCGGUGGCGAAGGCGGCCCCCUGGACAAAGACUGACGCUCAGGUGCGAAAGCGUGGGGAGCAAACAGGAUUAGAUACCCUGGUAGUCCACGCCGUAAACGAUGUCGAUUUGGAGGUUGUGCCCUUGAGGCGUGGCUUCCGGAGCUAACGCGUUAAAUCGACCGCCUGGGGAGUACGGCCGCAAGGUUAAAACUCAAAUGAAUUGACGGGGGCCCGCACAAGCGGUGGAGCAUGUGGUUUAAUUCGAUGCAACGCGAAGAACCUUACCUGGUCUUGACAUCCACAGAACUUUCCAGAGAUGGAUUGGUGCCUUCGGGAACUGUGAGACAGGUGCUGCAUGGCUGUCGUCAGCUCGUGUUGUGAAAUGUUGGGUUAAGUCCCGCAACGAGCGCAACCCUUAUCCUUUGUUGCCAGCGGUUCGGCCGGGAACUCAAAGGAGACUGCCAGUGAUAAACUGGAGGAAGGUGGGGAUGACGUCAAGUCA